UCCUUUGCUCUAACCGACACACACCUUCUCUCUUCCGUUACAACUUCAGUCUCCAGUCAUGCCUCUCACCCAGCGGCUUCACUCAUUAACCUCCCUCCAGCCCAGAAUGGACCGGCCCACGGCCCGGCUAUUUGCUGCCAACGCGCCUCAGCCUCAACCCGUCGGCCAAUCCUGGGCCUCGCAGCAGAACAAGGUGCGCGGCGAGCGCUGCAGAUCACCUCAGAGGGAAUGUGCUGCCAGCAGUGGACGGAGUUGGAUACAACAUCCUUCCACACGCAGCACAGGCCUCGGAUCACAGCGGUGCCAGUGGAUCCGUGUUGUGGUCCAUGAGGCGUGUCUGCGUCUGUGAUGCACAAA